rnacentral:rRNA from 1 species
GACGAACCGUGCAAACGUUAUUCGGAAUCAUUGGGCUUAAAGCGCACGUCGGCGGCCGGCAAAGUGGAGGGUGAAACGCCAACGGCUCAACCGUGGUUCGUGCCUUCCAAACUCGCCGGCUUGAGCAAGAUAGGGGCCGGUGGAACUUCCAGUGGAGCGGUGAAAUGUGUUGAGAUUGGAAGGAACGCCAGUGGCGAAAGCGACCGGCUGGGUCUUGGCUGACGCUCAGGUGCGAAAGCCAGGGGAGCAAACGGG